rnacentral:rRNA from 1 species
AUUGAACGCUGGCGGCAGGCUUAACGCAUGCAAGUCGAGCGGAGAUGAGGUGCUUGCACCUUAUCUUAGCGGCGGACGGGUGAGUAAUGCUUAGGAAUCUGCUUAUUAGGGGGGGACAACAUUCCGAAAGGAAUGCUAAUACCGCAUACGUCCUACGGGAGAAAGCAGGGGAUCUUCGGACCUUGCGCUAAUAGAUGAGCCUAAGUCGGAUUAGCUAGUUGGUGGGGUAAAGGCCUACCAAGGCGACGAUCUGUAGCGGGUCUGAGAGGAUGAUCCGCCACACUGGGACUGAGACACGGCCCAGACUCCUACGGGAGGCAGCAGUGGGGAAUAUUGGACAAUGGGGGGAACCCUGAUCCAGCCAUGCCGCGUGUGUGAAGAAGGCCUUAUGGUUGUAAAGCACUUUAAGCGAGGAGGAGGCUACUGAGACUAAUACUCUUGGAUAGUGGACGUUACUCGCAGAAUAAGCACCGGCUAACUCUGUGCCAGCCGCCGCCGUAAAAC